ACUCCUACGGGAGGCAGCAGUGGGGAAUCUUGCACAAUGGGGGCAACCCUGAUGCAGCGACGCCGCGUGAGCGAUGAAGCCCUUCGGGGUGUAAAGCUCUUUCGGCAGGGAAGAUAAUGACGGUACCUGCAGAAGCAGCUGCGGCUAACUACGUGCCAGCAGCCGCGGUAAUACGUAGGCAGCGAGCGUUGUUCGGAGUUACUGGGCGUAAAGGGUGUGUAGGCGGUUGUUUAAGUUUGGUGUGAAAUCUCCCGGCUCAACUGGGAGGGUGCGCCGAAUACUGAAUGACUUCGAGUGCGGGAGAGGAGAGUGGAAUUCCUGGUGUAGCGGUGAAAUGCGUAGAUAUCAGGAGGAACACCGGUGGUGUAGACGGCUCUCUGGACCGUAACUGACGCUGAGACACGAAAGCGUGGGUAGCAAACAGGAUUAGAUACCCUGGUAGUCCACGCCCUAAACGAUGCAUAUUUGGUGUGGGCAGUUCAUUCUGUCCGUGCCGGAGCUAACGCGUUAAAUAUGCCGCCUGGGGAGUACAGUCGCAAGGCUGAAACUCAAAGGAAUUGACGGGGGCCCGCACAAGCGGUGGAGCAUGUGGUUCAAUUCGACGCAACGCGAAGAACCUUACCUAGGCUCGAACGGCUGGUCAACGGCGGUGGAAACAUCGCUACCCCGCAAGGGGGUCCAGUCGAGGUGCUGCAUGGCUGUCGUCAGCUCGUGUCGUGAGAUGUUGGGUUAAGUCCCGCAACGAGCGCAACCCUUGUCCUGUGUUGCCAUCAUUCAGUUGGGAACUCGCAGGAGACCGCCAGGGAUAACCUGGAGGAAGGUGGGGAUGACGUCAAGUCCUCAUGGCCUUUAUGUCUAGGGCUACACACGUGCUACAAUGGACGGUACAAAGCGCAGCAAACCCGCGAGGGGGAGCCAAUCGCAAAAAACCGUUCUCAGUUCGGAUUGCAGGCUGCAACUCGCCUGCAUGAAGUUGGAAUCGC
rnacentral:rRNA from 1 species